AGUAAGUGGCGGACGGGUGAGUAAUGUCUGGGACACUGCCUGAUGUAGGGGGAUAACUACUGGAAACGGUAUCUAAUACCGCAUACCAUCAGAUGUGUCCAGAUGGGAUUAGCUAGUUGGUGGGGUAACGGCUCACCAAGGCGACGAUCCCUAGCUGGUCUGAGAGGAGGACCAGCCAAACUGGAACUGAGAAAAGGUCCAGACUCGUACGGGAGGAAGAAGGGGGGAAUAUUGCAAAAUGGGAGAAAGUAUGAGGGAGACAUGACGCGUGUAGGAAGAAGGGCUUCGGGUUGUAAAGUAAUUUCAGAGGGGAGGCGUUACCCGAAGAAGAAGCAACGGCUAACUCCGUGCCAGCCGCCGCGGUAAUAC
rnacentral:rRNA from 1 species